rnacentral:rRNA from 1 species
AACGAACGCUGGCGGCAGGCUUAACACAUGCAAGUCGAACGCACCUUUCGGGGUGAGUGGCAGACGGGUGAGUAACGCGUGGGAAUCUACCCUUCUCUACGGGAUAGCUCCGGGAAACUGGAAUUAAUACCGUAUACGUCCUGAGGGAGAAAGAUUUAUCGGGGAAGGAUGAGCCCGCGUUGGAUUAGCUAGUUGGUGGGGUAAAGGCCUACCAAGGCGACGAUCCAUAGCUGGUCUAAGAGGAUGAUCAGCCACAUUGGGACUGAGACACGGCCCAAACUCCUACGGGAGGCAGCAGUGGGGAAUAUUGGACAAUGGGCGCAAGCCUGAUCCAGCCAUGCCGCGUGAGUGAUGAAGGCCCUAGGGUUGUAAAGCUCUUUCAGUGGGGACGAUAAUGACGGUACCCACAGAAGAAGCCCCGGCUAACUUCGCG